GUACUGCUGAAGAGUCGUAAACUAGGACGAAACAGCUGUCCAGUAC
rfam:Trichobilharzia regenti genome assembly, scaffold: TRE_scaffold0050439